CCCCCAGCAAGUCCAAGCUCUUGAAGAAUCGGGGAAUUCAAAUUCCCCAUGAUUUUACUUGCUAGAGCAGAAAGAAUUGCAUCUCCCAUAGCUUGUUUUAGAAUGGAAAUGAAUUUGAUGUUGACAAGAAGAAGUAGAAAAGCUCCAAGGAUAACUAAAACCAGGGGAUGCGAGCAAGAAAUGGUAUAUAUUGAGAAGAAAGUGCAGUAUGGGAUAUGAAAUGGAAAAGGUGAGAGUGUUUGAUGACGGGCUUUUGCCUUUUCUGUUCUCUGACAAUGUUGAUUAGGCUCCACAAGUUGUAAACUUGACUAUCUAUGCCUAUAAUAAAGCAACUGAAGUUUCAGAGAAGGAACAUGGCUGUGAUUUGAAGACAAAAUUUC
rnacentral:lncRNA from 1 species